rnacentral:rRNA from 1 species
CAAUAGCGUAUAUUUAAGUUGUUGCAGUUAAAAAGCUCGUAGUUGGAUUUCGGAUGGGAUCUGCCGGUCCGCCUUUGAGGUGUGUACUGGUAGGUCCUAUCUUGUUGUCGGGGACCAGCUCCUGGGCUUCACUGUCCGGGACUGGGAGCCGGCGAAGUUACUUUGAGUAAAUUAGAGUGUUCAAAGCAGGCCUAAGCUCUGAAUACAUUAGCAUGGAAUAACGCGAUAGGACUCUGGUCUUAUUGUGUUGGUCUUCGAGACCGGAGUAAUGAUUAAGAGGGACAGUUGGGGGCAUUCGUAUUUCAUUGUCAGAGGUGAAAUUCUUGGAUUUAUGAAAGACGAACUUCUGCGAAAGCAUUUGCCAAGGAUGUUUNCAUUAA